rnacentral:sRNA from 1 species
GCUGUGCAAAAAUGGAAAACAUUUUAAAUUAUAAACUCGUCCGUAGACUUCCGUGAGGAGCAGCAUGUGAAUGCCGUAGAUGAGCACACAGACCACACAGCAGUCGUUGAGCACGAGCAGCAGCAGUCCACCUAGGCACUCACAGGACGCA